rnacentral:lncRNA from 1 species
AGAGUAUUUGUUUUUUGUUUGCUUGGAGUCUUCGCUUUGUAUAUGAAGAUCACUGGAUUGGUUUAAAGCAAUAGGGUAUUUUUUUCGGUAAUGUAAUGCUCCUCAUGGGAAAGAAAACAUGUCAGACGAUGAAGAUGACGAUGUUAUAGAUUCUUGGGAAGACGCUGCUGAUUCAGGAGAUCUUGAACGGCGUAUGGAAAAAAGAGAAAAAAUUGUUAACAAAAUCAAAAACAGUGAACCAAUGGAAUUCAGUAAUGCACCAGUAACAAUCUUAAAAGCAGAAAAUGCCUGUAAAACUGAGUACAGCCCUCAG